UUUCAAACAGGGAGAGAAUAGAUUCAGUGUUGCUUGGCAAGAGAAGUUGUUGCUGACGUGUCUUUCUUUCAUCGGUUGUCUCAAAUUCAUUUGCAGAAGUCUAGUCGCCAUCUGUUCUGGUCGUACUGGACUCAAAUAACAUCGAAUCAUAACUCGUUCCAAUUUUUCCACACUCGGCUCCUUCAACUUCAAAGUUGCAACCUUUCCUUCGAAAAUUUCAACUUUCUUUUUGCCCUUCAUUUUCCGACCCGUCAAACAGAAGAGAACAGCCCUAAUUUUUCAUUCAAUUUUUAAGCUGUUGAAAGUUGAAGAAAUCUUGGAUUGCAAAAUGGGAGAGCAAACCUUAGAUCUUCCAGAAGAAUGCUGGGAAAUGAUAUUCAAUCUGAUAGAGCACUAUCACUUUGUAUCCCUCUCUUUGGUCUGCAGGCGAUUCCUUGCCAUCACCAAUCGCCUCCUCUCUCGCCUCGUCGUCUCCGAUCCAACGCUUCUUCUCCUUCCCCAGCUCCUUCGGCGAUUCCCAAGACUCAGGAUUAUAGACCUCGCUGGGUUUCGCGGUGACGUCGAUGCUCUUCUUUCGCAGAUUGCGAAAUCUGGUUUGGACCUCGAAGCGCUUGGUGUUUCCAAUCAGAAGACUCUACCAGUCGAUGGUUUAAGAGUUGUUGGAUCCAAGAUGAGGAAUCUUAGGUAUUUGAAUUGCUCCAAGAUUGGUUUUUUACAGGACAACGAUCUGGGUCUGAUCGCAGAGUCAUUCCCUUUUCUUGAAGAGCUCGAUAUUAGCUAUCCCGAGCACACACUUAGCUAUUCCUCAAUUGGGUUGCUGGAUUCUUGCGUUUCUGCGAGACCCAUUACUGAUUCCGGGAUUCUUUCGUUGGCGGUGAAGCUAAAGGGCCUGAAGAAGAUCAACCUUUCUGGUAAUCACUUUAUUACUGAUAAGUCCCUUGGCAUUUUAUCCCGGAAUUGCCUCCUGCUUAGUGAAAUUUUGUUACACAAUUGUGAUUUCGUAACUCAGAAUGGCAUUUUAUUGGUGAUCCGUGGCUGUGCUAACUUGAAUUCAUUAUCAUUCUCUGGUAUUUGGUCAUCUUUCGUGGAUUCAAGAUUCAAAGAUUCAUUUGUAUGCACAAAAUCUUUAUGUGCUGUUGAUUUUUCGGAUUCAGUUAUCUCCGAUGAAUUGCUUUAUUCAAUAGCAGAAGCAUGUCUUCCGUUGAACAAGCUCGUCCUCUCUCAUUGCCAAAACUACACAUUUAGUGGAAUUUCAUCUCUAUUGUGUAAGCACCAAUCUCUUCAAUACUUAGAUCUUGAGUUAGCCAAUUUCCUCACAGACGAGUACAUGCUUGAGUUAUCUAAGUUCCUACAGAGAAUAACUUAUUUAAACCUCAGUUUGUGCCAUCAGCUAACUAAUUCAACCUUCUUCAACCUCACAAGAAAUUGUCCUUUGUUGAAUGAAUUCAAAAUGGUUGGUACAAAUUUAGGUGCUGAAGAUUUUACCACCAGUUUUGUGGUGAACCCUCGAGUAAAGUCUCUAAAUUUGGCUCGAAAUAGUUCUUUGGACAAUGAUACCAUCAGUAUGUUUGCAUCCAGUUGCCCCAACUUAAAAUUUCUGGAUUUGAGCUGUUGUUUUAAUAUCACAGAAGAAGGCAUUUCCGAAGUUUUGAAGAGAUGCUCAGAGAUUAGGUACUUGAGGAUAGAACAUUGUAGUGGGAUAAAGACUCUUGUGAUAGACUAUGAACUCUCCAGCUUGGAGGUAUUGUGUGCAUGGGAAUCAGGUAUUGAUGAUGAUGGAUUGGCGAUGAUUGGUAACAGGUGUUGCCGGCUGCUGCAAUUGGACUUGACUGGCUGCUCAAAUGUGACGGUUAAAGGGGUGAAGGAAGUGGUGCAGAAUUGCAGAGUAUUGAGGGAGAUUAACUUGAAGUGGUGUAACAAUGUGGAUGUUGAUAUUAUUGCUUGGAUGGUGUUUUCAAGGCCAUCACUUAAAAGAAUAGUCCCACCUCGUGGUUUCGUUCCUUCUGAAAGCCAGAGGAACCUUUUCCUGCGUCAUGGAUGUCUAGUUUGUGAUGGCUAGCUUAAUUUGCAUAUCUUUGGGCUUUGGAGGCAAAGGCAUUCUUUCAGUUGUAUAAUAUUCCACAUUUCUUUGCUAAUGAUUUCAUAUAACAAGAAUGUCGUAGACGGUUGUGUGGAUGCGAAAAGAAUCAGAGGACUCAGUUUUGUUAAGGCUGAAUUGUUCAAAACCGGCAAGCAAUGGCAUUUCCAUGGUUUCCCUCUCGUGUCUGAGUUCGAGCCACAAAUUGCACAAGUUACCUACAAGUUAAUUGGUCUGCUGAUACAAACGAGAUAUUUAUGUAAUAUACU